GGUGCUGUGGCUUAAUUGGUUAAAGCGCCUGUCUAAUAAAUAGGAGAUCGAGGGUUCAAAUCCAUCGGGGGUUUCG